CCGCUGUGAUGAUGUUUAUACCAAAUCAUUCGCAGUUUACACCGGAAGUCUCUUUGGGGCUAAUGCUGGUUUAAGUACCUUCCUUGGAUGUCUGAGCGA